UUUCAAAUUUUCCACACAUUUUGAACCAAAGCAAAUCAUCCAAAGUACAAUUUUGUCCUUUUUUCUAUCAAACAUAGUUAUCUUUUCUUUUCUUGUUUGACUUUAGAAGAUAUGUGCAAACACGUGACAUUCAAAAACCAAACAAAACACUAAGGAAAACAUAACAAAUAAAAAAUAAAAAUCAUUCAGCAACACCAUUCGAGUGGUUUCCCCCAAUGCUUAUCAAAGACUUCGUCAAAAAUAAGUCAUGCUUGUAAAGCCAACUGCAUAAAAAAAAACAAAAAACAAAAAAACUUAUAAAGUCCAAUAUUUGGUUAAAAUUAUACUUUUAGUGUUUUUUUAAUACUUUACAUUUCCCUCUCACUCUAUUGUGGUGUUGUCAAGUUAAAGCAUGAACAUUCUUUGCAUGGAUCUUUUGAGCAAUUUUCAUACAAAUGUACAAGCCAUUAAACAUCAUCCUUUGGAGCCAAAAGUGAGGAAAAUUAUCCUUUCUUUUUAUAUGCUCUAUAAUGAUCAGGCUGCAAUAAAAAAAAAGUUACCUUUAUUUUUCAGUAUUCUUAGAUUACCAUCCAUUAGCAUCAUAAUCACUUAUUAAGAACAAAAAUACAGGUACAUGGCUAAUCAUUUAUUUAUGCAGUGAAGUUAUGAUUUCAUGCCACUUUUUGCAAACACGUUUCACUUUUAUACCAAUUCCUUCAAUUACAAAAUGCAAAAAAUCAAGUUGAAGAGCUUUUGAAUCUUCAAACGUGACAUUUUCCACCAAUUUCUACAAUUUACCAACAACACUUGUUUUUCGCUGACUAUGCUAAGGCCUUCCACUGCGUUUAAAGUAGUGAAAAGUAAAAUAUCAAAGGUUCAUACUUGACAACAUGAUUGACUUGUUUAAUUAUCUGAUAUAUGCAGUUGACAUAAAAUUGAAUAGAAAAGAAGCUUAUUCUAGCAAAAGAUCCAGGUUAGAUGUACAAAUCAUGCAAGUCAUUCUAGUACAGUCAAAAUAUCUUCGUAUAUAUAAAAUAAAUAUGUAAUAUUUUACACCAAAUAAAUAUAAGCACAUGUACUCUGAUACAGGUUUGAUAGAAAAUCAAGAAAGAAAAAAAUGAAUUCCCAUACUUGAGAGAUAGGUCUCCCCACUACUUCCUAACAAGAUUAUUUUAUUCAUACAACUCUCUUAACUGAAUUUUCCCACCUAAAAAACAAUUAUAAGGACUAAACUACCCUCCCAAGCCUCAUAAUCAUCGUCUCCUUAAAAACAUGGUUUACAGUUUUACAUACAUAUUGGUAACUAUGUUGCACAUAUACAUACAUAACUAAACAAGUUUUGGCAGUAUUACGCCUACAAUCUCUUGGUUGACUUGCCCCAACGAUUCAUGUAUGAAGCUUUAAUUAGAAAACAAAAAAUUUGAAGCACUAAUCAAAGAACUACAACUACAGAUUAAGGACUAAAUCAGUUAUUUAAAAAAAAACAAAAUCAAGAACCAUGUUAAGUUAACAUGGUUAUUUUUAUAGAUCAGACCAUACCUCUUCAUGAUUCCCCCGCUUGUUGUAAGCAACCAGAUUUCCGUUUAGUUUAGUGUAAAAGCCUCAAGUUGUGGUAUCAUACCUGCAUAUUCUACUAAAUCAAGCAUAAAUAUAAAUUAGAGACAAAAUAUGGUGGAAAAGGAAAAGAAAACAUAUAUUUGUAUAAUGACUUAAGUACCAUUCAACAAUGCACAAAUUAAUGAGCGAAUAAUCUAGAGAGAAAACAAUAUUUUAAAACACCUUAAGGAAGAGUACUUUAUGUUCAUCUAGGUUCUGGGUAUCCACAUUCAACAAAGCAAAGAAGGAUUCAUGAACCUUGAAAAAAGAUAAAAGUAAAUGUGACAGUCAAAUACCACAAACACUAAGGGGUUUACCUCAUCGUUGUUGGAGGCCCAAAGAUAAAAUAAUGGUAAGGGUUUAACCCUCGUUAUCUCUGACCAAUAUGUUCCAACCUAUUAAAUCAAAAAGAAAAAUCAUUGUGAAAUCAGAAGAAAAACAAAAACAAUAAAAUGCUUGAACAAAUGAGCCAACAGAAGUGGUUUCACCUCAGAUUAUGAGUAACUCAAUAUAAAAAAACGCAAAACUAAAAUGGAGAUGACUCCAUGCUUCUACAGUAGAGAUAGAGAGAAAUUCAAGUUUCUUUUUCAUAAACUUGAUUCGUCAAAAUCAAGAAAAUGUAGAAGGGAUAACCUAAAAUGGCUAUUAAAGAAUUAAAGUGUUAAUGUUCUUCUUUUUCAUUUUCCUGUUUAAUUAAGUAGCCAUCCAUCCUCUACGUACAACUCAUCACCUGCUUUAAGUAGCCAUCUAUCCUCUACAUACAACUCAUCACCUGCUUUAUUUCAUCAACAAUUAUGUUGACCUAAUAUUCAUUUGGAAGUGUGCUCUGGAAAUCUUAAAGCACUAUCCAAAUGUCACGACACACUAGAUUUAUGAAUAAUAUCCACUAUGGUAAAGGACUAACAAAGAAAGGAAACACCAUUGUCUAACUUAAAAGACAGACAAAAUACUGUGGAUAAAAAACACAAAAUAUCAUCUAUCAUCAUCAUACUCCUCUUUAUAAGAUCGAAAUUUAAAAUUAAAAAUAAAAUCAUAGUUCCCCUGUUUUAGGAUUAUUGAUUGGUGAGACGGAAACCAGGUCGUUCCAAAAAUCAAAACACACAUGUUCCAAAAAUCGUCUAACUUCAAAGACUAACAAAAAGAAUCAGAUUUGUCAAUCUAAAAGUAAUAAGCUUAAAUCUUGUAUGAUUGGGUCAACAAUUACACAGUUUACAAGCUAGACAUAUGAGUAAUUCCUGAAUUUUGUGGUACUUACCUCACAACAAGCAAUUGGGUGUAGCCGUUCUUUCUCCAGCUAUAUCUGAAAAUCGAAAUCCAACAAUUACAAAGUAAACAAUCUACUAUAAGGAACAAAGUUAAAAAAUGGAAGAAAUAAGAAAUCGAUUAAGCCAAUUUUUGUGUAAUCAUAUGAAAAAAGACAUUUUUUUCGUUUAGUUUUAUGUACAACCCUGAAAGACAAAGCAUUCUUUCAAACUUUUAGGGUUCACGAAUAGGGGAUGUGAAGAUGGCAUCAUGUAACAGGAGGACUUAUGGAGCAACGAGAAGUAGGUUAUCCACCUAUCUCCUCCUUCUCAGGGUGGGAGAGAUAACAUGAUCUUCAAUCCACCAAUUUCAAUUUCAAGGAUGACGAUCAUCUGUUAAAUGCACAAACAUAGUUAAAAAGAGGGUUAAUUUCGAACCAGAAUAUCAAAGGGUAAAAUAGUCACAUUUCAGUUUCAUGGACAAAUAUAAUGCAUGGAUGAGAAAAAGAUCCAUAUCGUAGAAAUCAAAAUCAAACUUGGGAAAAUAAAAUGUCAAGAACUAAAAUUUGUGAAAUCGGAAAACGAACCUGUUAUGUUGAUCAAGUGAGUGAAAGGAGAGGUGACGACGGUGAGGACCUUGCGCAUGUCACGUGAUGUCGUCGUUUUGGGUUUUUUAGAGGGACGGAGGUGGAGGAAGAGAAAAGUCGUUGGUGUGUGGUGGUGAGAUACAUGAUAUAGGGUUGGUUAC
rnacentral:lncRNA from 1 species